GUGUCACUGGGCUUAAAGGGUGUGUAGGCGGGAACGUAAGCGCUUUGUGAAAUCCCCCGGCUUAACCGGGGAAUUGCUUGGCGAACUGCGUUUCUUGAGGCAAGCAGGGGUACAUGGAACUCUUGGUGGAGCGGUGGAAUGCGUAGAUAUCAAGAGGAACGCCGAUGGUGAAGACAGUGUACUGGGCUUGUCCUGACGCUGAAACACGAAAGCGUGGGGAGCAAACGGGAUUAGAUACCCCGGUAGUCCACGCUGUAAACGAUGUCUACUAGGUUGCGGUGGUUCUGACACCGGCGCGACCGAAGCGAAAGUGUUUAGUAGACCGCCUGGGGAGUACGGUCGCAAGGCUAAAACUCAAAGGAAUUGACGGGGGCUCACACAAGCGGUGGAGUAUGUGGAUUAAUUCGAAGCAACGCGCAGAACCUUACCUGGGUUUGACAUGCUUGGAUGCCCGCCAUGAAAGUGGUUGGGCUGCCCGCAAGGGUGAAACUUGCACAGGUGCUGCAUGGCUGUCGUCAGCUCGUGUCGUGAGAUGUCGGGUUAAGUCCUUUAACGAGCGAAACCCUUGCCGUUAGUUACCAGCGGGUCAUGCCGGGAACUCAUAGCGCGGACUGCCGGUGUUAAACCGGAGGAAGGUGGGGAUGACGUCAAGUCAUCAUGGCCUUUAUGCCCAGGGCCUCACACGUACUACAAUGGCGACUACAGAGCGACGCAAGACCGCGAGGUGGAGCAAAUGCAAAAAAGUCGCCUCAUUCGGAUUGUAGGCUGGCAAUUCGCCUGCAUGAAGUCGGAAUCGCUAGUAAUCGCAUAUCAGCUAU
rnacentral:rRNA from 1 species